CACACACACACACACACACACACACACACCACUCCCUCCGAAGGUCUGGCCACGCGAGGCUACUUUACAGUAGGGUUGGUUAUACGUAACGUGGUACUGUACCGGCAAGUUUUGGCGACGGUAAUAUGUUGCCGAAAUGAUCCAGAAUGUCUUUCAAUUUUGGCGAAUAAUAUCUACGGGUUUCAUUAACGUAUGGUGUCACCAGAUCUUGAGAUAUAGUUGGACAAGAGACGUAUUGCUAAAGAAAAAGAAGAAAUGGCUCGUAAAGAGACUGUGCAAAAUGAAAUUGAACACGAGAAGAGACUCCAGAGCCUAGACGAAGAAAUUGAGAGAAUACAGAAAUCAUUGCUGAGAUUGGAAGAGAACGGAGAUUUGUUGGGAGAGGAGAUUCACAGUGCAAAGGAAGGUGCAUGAGACCAAGCCCAAGAUAGAAAGAGCAAGAACGGCUGCUAGUGGAGAAAAGAAACGGCAAAUGAAAUUAGAAGCCAAGCAAGCUAAGAAGAUAGCUCAAUCAUAAGGUGUCUGAGGAUACUCGCAACAGAGCACAAGAGGCAGGGCGUUUGCCAUCUGCAUUGUCAGAAGCAAAAGAAGCAGAAAAGGGUGGCAAACGUCAAAGUUGGAUAUAUAAUGCCAUCACCUGGUCUGGUAAGAGCAAAGUUGUAUAUUUUGAAAACAUUUUGAACAUUUGAAAUGCACAUUGAGUGUAGAUCGUAGAGUAGAGUGUGCACAUUUAAAUAAUGGAACGUGUAACCGAUUGUUUGUUUGCCGAGCAACAUGAAUCUUUCUUACUUCAAAAUUUUUCCACAUUUCUUACAUCUUUGGAAUAUUAUAAUUGUUUGUCACUUGAAAAAUAUAAUCAUGAUGGCUUUAGAACAUUUAGAGAAUUGCUUUUCCUUGCUUGUUUUACUUGUUGGAUGGUCAGGAUGAUGAACCAAGUGAUUCUUCAUCAAGUGAUGCUUCAUCAGUCAUUAGAUGAAGAUGCACGUGAGCUGAUUAGUGAAAGAGAGUUUGAAGAGCUGUCAAACAGAUGGGAAAAGACAGAUUAAAAUAUCUGACAAAGAGCAAACAUUUCAAGCGUGGGCUGAGUCGGUGAAAUUUGCCAUCAAUAGUAUGCAACUGGAUAUGAGGCAUGAUGAAAAUACUUGUAAAGGAAGCUCAUGGUAUUCAACUUUGGAAAAGAUUACUGCAGGUAGCUUUCAAGCAAGAGUUGCAUUUUUUGAAGAAUUGGAUUGGCCGUGUACAUCUGGCACAGUUGUGUUUGUUUGCCAAGACGUGAUGUGCAUGCGUGAUUGUAUUUCACAGCUGAAGAAACCGCCAAAGACAUUAGAUGCUACAAUAAAUAACUUUACAGGCCUGGAUCCAGGAAUUUUUUAAGAGGGGGUUGACCUGGUAGCUGUUAUUUAUAGCAUUACUAAUUUUCUCUUUUCUAAUGAAAUUAUAUGAAAUUAUUGAACCACACCUAUUGGAAAAGAGGGAGUUGAAACCCCCUGAACCCCUAUCUGGAUCCGAGCCUGCUCUACUUAGAAGAUAAAAUUUUAUGAAAUUUUAGUGAUACAAUAUGUAUUAA